rnacentral:rRNA from 1 species
UACGUAGGGUGCGAGCGUUAAUCGGAAUUACUGGGCGUAAAGCGUGCGCAGGCGGUUUUGUAAGUCUGAUGUGAAAUCCCCGGGCUCAACCUGGAAUUGCAUUGGAGACUGCAAGGCUAGAAUCUGGCAGAGGGGGUAGAAUUCCACGUGUAGCAGUGAAAUGACGUAGAUAUGUGGAGGAACACCGAUGGCGAAGGCAGCCCCCUGGGUCAAGAUUGACGC